rnacentral:piRNA from 1 species
UCAUAGCUCACUGCAGCUUGUAUUUUUUUG